UUUGAGCUAAUACCAUAUAAUGUCUUCGGACCAAGAUUUAUCGCCUGAGAUAAGCCCGCGUAGGAUUAGCUAGUUGGUGGGUAAAGGCUCACCAAGGCGACGANCCUUAGCUGGUCUGAGAGGAUGAUCAGCCACACUGGGACUGAGACACGGCCCAGACUCCUACGGGAGGCAGCAGUGGGGAAUAUUGGACAAUGGGCGAAAGCCCUGAUCCAGCAAUGCCGCGUGAGUGAUGAAGGCCUUCGGGUUGUAAAGCUCUUUUACUCGGGACGAUAAUGACGGUACCGAGAGAAUAAGCCCCGGCUAACUCCGUG
rnacentral:rRNA from 1 species